rnacentral:rRNA from 1 species
CAAACCCCUCGAAAAAGCUGAAACCCCUCCCCCCUCAGUCCCCCAUCCGCCGUCGGCUGCCCUCCCCACCCCACGAGACGGCGGCGGCGGCGGCGGCGACCGAGCAGCACCAGAUCCUCUCCCCCCUCCUCGUUCAUUGUAGGAGCAAAGCAGUAAAAAUGAAUGCGCACCUCAGCUUUGAGGAUGGCUGGAAGGUCCUGGAGCAGGGCAUUGUGACAUGUUCAAAGAUUUUGGAGGGAUCCACUGGUACAAGGCCUACUGUUGCUGAGUACAUGAAUUGCUAUGACUGUGCUUAUAGAAUGGCUGUGCAGACAACCAGCUAUUGUGAAGAGAUGUACAAUGGUUACAAGGCUACACUUGCAGAAUCUGUUCGUGCACUGGUUUGCCCCCAUCUGAUGCACCAGAGAGACGGCUACCUUUUGAGACAGCUUGCGAAAAUGUGGUCCAACUAUUGUAUCAUGGUUAAAUGUGUAUCUGGCUUCUUCAACUAUUUGGACCGUUGCUUUGUUGAGCAAAGAAAGCUACCUUGUCUUGAAGACACUGCUGCCACUUCUUUUUUCUCUACAGUCUUUUCCUUCUUCAGUCAUGAAGUAUCAGACGCUCUGCUGACUUCGAUUCGCCAAGAGCGUGAUGGAAUCAAUGUUGAUAUGGACAUCUUGAUGGGCAUUAUGCGUGGCAUAUGUCGCUCUGAAGUCAAAUCCUUCAUGAAAAAUGCUGUUGUUCAAGAUACAUAUGCUUACUACUCCAGGAAAAGUUCUGAAUGGAUUGUUCAGUACCCUCUACAAGAUUACCUUGCCAAGGUUCAGGAUUGUAUGGAGAAGGAAACCAUGAGAUUGAUGAGCUAUCUGUGUAUUGCUGAGGGAGAUAGCACAGAGCUCUGUUUGAAGGUUGUUAGUGCUCCAUUGAUGCAAACUUAUGACAGCUAUGCAAGAGAGAAACAGAUUGGUGGCCAACUUUUGCUUCAAACAUACAAGACUGUAGAGGAUGAUCUGCUGGCCAGAUGCAGUCGCUUGACAAUUGACAGCGGUGUGGACAACAGUUCUGGCAGUUACAUGGAGUAGAAAGGAAAUGUGCUUCAGCUAACAUUCAUCGUUAACCAAGCUUACAUACAGGAAGGGGUUCUAGAACAUGGCCUACAUCUGGGGGAAUUUUUUGUGCGGUUCGUUUUUUGGUACCAAAGCAGAACUCGUGUACUGUGGAUUUUGUUGGCAAGGUUUGACUAGAUUAAACGCUAUACUGAAUCUGCAGGGGAUACCUCUUUAGGCGCCGCCUCCUACCCCAUUAUGGUCAACAGCAUUUGAAAUGUACAGGAUGGCGGGUCAAUUUAUGCCAAUGGCAGUUUAUUUUGAUCGUCGUCUAUCGAACAUUAGGCCGGUCAGCACCUAGCACUCUUAGUGGCUGAACAUGGAUUAUGUCAUGACACCAGAAUGAUUGGUGCAUCGCCUGUGCCUUUGGUGUGCUUCUGAUGCUGCCUAUGGUUUAAUCUUAUCUAUGACUUGAUGCUACUUCUCUGUGUUUGUGUGCUUGCCUACAUUGCUAAACUGUAGAUUAGAUGGGUUUAUGUUUCUUCCUGGUGUAGUUUGCCGGUAAGGUUGCAAAGUUGCUAUUAUGAUCUUGAGCCAGUGUGUGGUAAUUGUUUGCAAUUUUAGAUUCUAUAAACCCAGC